ensembl:snoRNA
UGCUCUAUAUGUGCGUGUUUAUUCAACUGGUGGACAAAGACAUGAAAGACAGGUGCAAAAAUACACUCUCUUUGCAACCCAGAACUCAUUGAUCAGUAUGAGCUUUGAUUCAUACAAGAAGGAAUAUG